rnacentral:rRNA from 1 species
UACGUAGGGGGCGAGCGUUUAUCCGGAAUUACUGGGCGUAAAGCGCACGCAGGCGGUUCGCCAAGUUUGGAGUGACAGUUGUCGGCUCAACCGACAAAGGACUUCAAAACUGGUGAACUUGAGGACGAGAGAGGAACAUGGAACUCCAGGUGUAAUAGUGAAAUGCGUAGAUAUACUGGAAGAACACCAAUGGCGAAGGUCA